rnacentral:misc_RNA from 1 species
CACUUUCCUUAUUUGUAAAAGUGGGCAGGGCGUGGACAUGUGCGAAAUUGGGGGUUGUUUAUUUUGCUAAAUGGCGGCUCAUUCGUAAUGUGGAUAGGAAUAGUAGGUGUUAGAAACGACAGUGAUUUUAUUAAUUGCGCUGACAAUUGUGAGUGAGAUGGAAAAUCCCGGGAGUGACGCUGGACAAGACCCUGGAGCACAGCACGAACAAUUUGGGUCGUUCCGUGGUGUUGGAGGAAUUGAUGCUUACUGUGGAAAUUUACCCUCUUCCAGUGCUGCUUGUGUGCCAGGCCUUUUACGGCUUUCCCAGGCAACGUCUGCCAGUGGAGUCGCUGUGCCAACAUACAGUGAAAUGCACUCUGCUGACCCACUACAAAACAUUGGUGAUGCUCAAGCUCAAUCUCUUCACCAGCAUCAGCAUCAGCAUGAUUAUGAUCAACAUGGUGAGCUUCUCGGGAAAGCCCACCAUGUAGCAUCUUUCUCAGAUGCGAGGCACAAUGAAAUGACAUCUGACGAAGAUGGCUCAAUGUCUGGAAAAUUUUCCUUACCUCAAGCACUGUCGUCUCCAUCACAAUCGGGACAGCCAGCCGCAGGGCUGUCUCCACAGACUGCAAAGAAAACAAAAGGACGUGUGAAGAUAAAGAUGGAGUAUAUUGACAACAAACUAAGAAGAUACACCACAUUCUCCAAGAGGAAAACUGGGAUCAUGAAAAAGGCGUACGAGCUGUCCACUCUGACAGGCACCCAGGUGAUGCUUCUCGUGGCGUCCGAGACUGGCCACGUCUACACGUUUGCCACACGCAAACUGCAGCCGAUGAUCACCUCGGAGGCGGGCAAGGCGCUCAUCCAGACGUGUCUCAACUCGCCGGACCCGGCCGGCGCGCCGCCGGGGCCCGGGGACCAGCGUAUGUCGGCGACUGGCUUCGAGGAGACGGAGCUAUGCUGCGGCGCCGAGGACGAGCAGAAAGUAAGGCCGCCGCUGGCGCAACCCCUGGCCGCCGGCUACGGCGAGUACCGCGGCCUGGCGCCGCCCUAUGGCGGCUACAGCGGCCAGCCGCAGGCCUGCUGGCCGCUGCCGCCCCAGCUGGGAGGCAUGGUGUGCCAGCCGCCGACGCCACCCGUGUCGGUGCCUCACUCCCAGGGGCCGCAGGCGGGCCUGGGACCUGGGGGAUUCUAUCUCCCCAGUGUGUGUCGGUAGGUGGGUGUGGCGGCGUGGCGCUCCCCUAGGACAGCGGGAGGGACCAAGAGGCGUGGUUAAGGGAAGGAUGUACCCAUCUCGGGCAGUCUAAGGAGUACGAUAUGAGGAAUGGAGGGCUGUGCGGUCCCGGCUGGCUCGGGUUUGACCCCAGGGUGGGCUGGUGCUUUCCAGAGUGGUAGUUGGUGGGUCACCCGUGAUGGCAUGCCAGGGCAGAAUCUCACCGUGCUGGGCUAUCACGCAUCCAGAGUUUUCGGGCUGGGUCAAGGCAUGGCUGGGGGGGUUCUAAGGUCCCCCCAACAGAGUGGGAUGGUUCGGGCUUACCUCCGCUAGUUUAUACGCAAUGGAGUGUCUUUGAUAGUCUGUAGAGUCAGUGUAUCCCCUUGCCCCGGCGGUAAAUAGGGGGAAUUAAUCACCUGGGACCUAUUUAUAAGUUAUGAUUUUACAUGCUUUUACCGCUGCCUAAUAAUUGUGCCAUAUGGAAAAAUAGUCAUGUAGUUAGAUGACUUUAGAUCGGAUAGUGACGGAGGCAAGGUGUGAUUUUUUAAGUUUUUUAGUACUUAGUCAUUGCCUGCAGGAGUUUUCAACGAAGCGCUGAACCCAGGCAUUGCUACCGUUUUGUACUGUGUAAUUAUCACACGGUCAUGCGUCUGCGUCUGUGAUUGGUGCGAUUGGUCGUGCCUGCUCCGGUGCUGUGUGUUCUGUGAACGGUUGUUGUUGCUGCUUACGCUGUGCUUGUGAGUGAAUCAGUGACGGACGGAGCGGGCUGGCCCCCUGCUGUCGUUCUCCACCGAGCACAAUACA